GAUCAUGGCUCAGGAUGAACGCUAGCUACAGGCUUAACACAUGCAAGUCGAGGGGCAGCAUGACGAUAGCUUGCUAUUGUUGAUGGCGACCGGCAAACGGGUGAGUAACGCGUAUCCAACCUGCCCUUGUCCAUCGGAUAACCCGUCGAAAGGCGGCCUAACACGAUAUGCAGUUCUCAGCAGGCAUCUAACGAGAACGAAAUGUAAAGGAGAAGGAUGGGGAUGCGU
rnacentral:rRNA from 1 species